rnacentral:rRNA from 1 species
AUUGAACGCUGGCGGAAUGCUUUACACAUGCAAGUCGAGCGGCAGCACGGGGGCAACCCUGGUGGCGAGCGGCGAACGGGUGAGUAAUACAUCGGAACAUGCCCAGUCGUGGGGGAUAACACUUCGAAAGAAGUGCUAAUACCGCAUACGUCCUGAGGGAGAAAGCGGGGGAUCGCAAGACCUCGCGCGAUUGGAGUGGCCGAUGUCAGAUUAGCUAGUUGGUGGGGUAAAGGCCUACCAAGGCAACGAUCUGUAGCUGGUCUGAGAGGAUGAUCAGCCACACUGGGACUGAGACACGGCCCAGACUCCUACGGGAGGCAGCAGUGGGGAAUUUUGGACAAUGGGGGCAACCCUGAUCCAGCCACUCCGCGUGAGUGAAGAAGGCCUUCGGGUUGUAAAGCUCUUUCGGCAGGAACGAAACGGCGAGCUCUAACAUAGCUUGCUAAUGACGGUACCUGAAGAAGAAGCACCGGCUAACUACGUG